rnacentral:rRNA from 1 species
GAUCAUGGCUCAGAACGAACGCUGGCGGCGCGUUUAAGCAUGCAAGUCGAGCGGCAAGGGCCUUCGGGCCCCUAGAGCGGCGGACGGGUGAGUAACACGUGGACAAUCUGCCCCCCGGCCCGGGAUAGCCCAGGGAAACCUGGAUUAAUACCGGAUGAGACGGGACCCGCGAUGGCGGGAUCCGGGAAAGGCGCUGCGGCGCCGCCGGGGGAUGAGUCUGCGUCCCAUUAGCUAGACGGCGGGGUAACGGCCCACCGUGGCGACGAUGGGUAGCCGGCCUGAGAGGGUGGACGGCCACAUUGGAACUGAGACACGGUCCAGACUCCUACGGGAGGCAGCAGCUAAGAAUCUUCCGCAAUGGGCGAAAGCCUGACGGAGCGACGCCCGCGUGAACGAAGAAGGCCGUGAGGUUGUAAAGUUCUUUUCGGGAGGGGGAACAACCGUGGCAGGGAAUGGCCGCGGGAUGACGUGAAUCCCGGAAUAAGCCCCGGCUAACUACGUGCCAGCCGCUGC